rnacentral:tRNA from 1 species
GGGGGCGUGGCUCAAUUGGCACAGCAAGAGCUUUGCAAGUUCUCAUUUAGGGGUUCGAGUCCCCUCGCUUCCA